rnacentral:rRNA from 1 species
CCAACUUAUGCCUAUUUGAAAUACAAGAGAAUUACAACCAGUAGCGUUGGAUCCCUUGGCACGUCAUUCGAUGAAGACCGUUGCAAAAUGCGAUAAGUGGUGUGAUAUGCAAGUCCAAAACUUAUACGUGAACCAUCGAAUCGUUGAACGCACUGCAUCGAGCCUUACCCAGGAACGAUACGCCCCAUUGAGCGUCAUUAUGUCUUCGUGACUGUCAUUUAUUUGGCCUGUCCGGGUUCGGGAUUCACAGCUUUGAUUAGCUGCGCUUCCUUAGAUACAUGGAUGCACUACGGCUGAAGGUGUCCUUGUCAUAAAUGUCGAGGUUUUCCAAAAGCUUAGAUGCAAGAUUGCUCUUGUGMAGAGUAAUCAAAUGCAACCACUUCAUUGCGGAAGCAGCUUCUAAACAUGACCUCACGGGGGUGGGAUGACCCGCUAGACUUAAGCAUAUUAAUCA